rnacentral:rRNA from 1 species
UACAGAGGUCUCAAGCGUUGUUCGGAUUCAUUGGGCGUAAAGGGUGCGUAGGUGGCGCCGUAAGUCGGGUGUGAAAUUUCGGAGCUUAACUCCGAAACUGCAUUCGAUACUGCGGUGCUUGAGGACUGGAGAGGAGACUGGAAUUCUUGGUGUAGCAGUGAAAUGCGUGGAGAUCAAGAGGAACACUCGUGGCGAAAGCGAGCUACUGGACAAUAUCUGACGCUGAGGCUCGAAGGCCAGGGUAGCGAAAGGG